CCUACGGGAGGCAGCAGUGGGGAAUAUUGCGCAAUGGGCGAAAGCCGGACGCAGCGAAGCCGCGGGAGGGAUGAAGGUCUUCGGAUCGGAAACCUCGGUCAGCAGGGAAGAACGGUCACAGGGCUAAGCAGCAGUGAAUUGACGGUACCGGCAAAGGAAGCACCGGCUAACUCCGUGCCAGCAGCCGCGGUAAUACGGGGGAGCGAGCGUUAAUCGGAAUUAAUGGGCGUAAAGAGAUCGUAGGCGGUAUGUCAAGUCAAGGGUGAAAUCCCCGCGCUCAACGUGGGAACUGCCUUUGAAACUGGCACCCUGGAGUGUGUCGCAGGCUAGUGUAAUUCCCGGUGUAGUCGU
rnacentral:rRNA from 1 species